rnacentral:lncRNA from 1 species
ACAGCUAGAGACCACUGUUCUAUUCCCCUGUUAUCCCAGCUCGACCCGACAACACUCUUAUUACCUGAAAGGAAUUGUGAAGCAGAAAGGGUGAGCACAACUAGCCCAGUAAAGAAUAUCAUGACUAAAGAUAAUUAAAUUAUCAAUAGCUUUCAUCAAUAAUAAAUCAGAGAUUUAGAACAUAUGGUAGAUGAUAAAACUUUUCAACCAUAUUUGCAGCGGAAC